CGCCGCAUCGAAGGUAUGGAGUACGUCUCUUCUCUACGUGCGAUGACGAGGUGGUGUCGUUUGCGAUUCAUCUCGCGACGUGAAACGUUCUGAUUAAUGGAUCCCUCUUUAAUCCCAUUGAUUUACACCUCUCUAUUGUUCUUUGAAAACGCUGAAUGGCUCUCUAUUGUGACCAUCUUUUUCUUGCAAGAACCAGAGAGAUCUAACCGGAAAACUUAUAGGCUAUUUGAUCUUGCCAUAGAAGAUGAAAGAGUUGUAAGUGGUUCAAGUGGAACAACAGCCUUCACAGCUUUUCUGAUUGGACAUCACUUAGUGGUUGUUAACGCAUGUGAUUGUCGUGCAAUUAUCUGCCGGAAAGAAGAAGCUGUUGAUAUGGAAAGGGAAGCUUCGGAUAAUAUUACAUUGGCGGUCAAAUGCUUCGUGCCGUCAGCACCUACUCCUCAGAGGAGAAGAAUACAGUUAUUUGUUUCAGAUGAAUCCCGAGCAUGGUUACGGUGAUCAGUUUUGUAUAUAUGUUUGGUUGAAGUUCCAUUUUUUAUUCUGGUGAAGAGAUUUUGGUAAAGUUUGAAUUUUAAUACAUGAAUGUGCUGUAGUAAAAGUAAUAUGUUUUUAGUUUACGAUUUAUUUGUAGUUGAGCACUAAUUACUGGUUUCUAUCUUUAAAAAAAAAACAGCUUCUCAGACUUAAGAUCAAGCAAAAAUUAGUCUGAAGCUCGGGGAGAGUAAAGUAUGUGGAUCUCCAUCCUACAGAACCAUGGAUUUGAGCAAGUUUAUGUUUUUGUGUAUUUGGAACUACCAGACACAGGUGGCAAAUAUUGGUGAUCAAACUGGGUUGAUCUCUGUCAAGAACAAACAAAAACGACAACACCUCCUCCCCCAUGUUAAGUCUGCAUGAUUCUUCUAUUACAUGACUGCAUUUCCUUACCUUUCUUUCAAGAUAUAAUCAAAUUACAUUACACGUAGCAAAAAAAAAAAAGAUUUUACAUUACACUCACAACUCUCUUUUACGAUGAGUGGUGCUUUGCCUUUUUAAUUAAAAUUUACACCCCUCUUCAAUUAUAUAUUUUUUUUUUAAUUAUACCUUCUUAAAUAGUAUAUGUAAAAAAUAUAUCAAAAAACAAACAUAUGCAAAUUGCUUUACAAACAUCUGUACAAAUACAAUAUUACUCAGCAAUACGCUGCAGCAAAAUUAUAUACAAGUCACAUAUAGCUCAGUACACAAUAUAAUAAUCAAACUACAUGAACAUAACAAAACAAAAAAUAAUCCAACAACAUAUUUAGCUACAAAAAAGCAUUACACACAUUUCUCAAGCCCAUAGAUGCGAGCUUAGCAAACGUAAUAGCCCAAUGUCUCUAACGGGCGUACAAAAUACAGCUAAUUACAAACAAAAUUUAGCAUCCAAUCUUACAUGGUCCAACCAAAAGGAGACGCUAACAAGUAACCUAUCUUUAGAGCAUGUAUUAAGAAGAGUUGAAAAUUCAAGCUACAUAUUACUUAAUAAGCAUUGACCCAAACUAUGGAUGCUAAAUAUUUACACUCUCCUCAAUACAAUUAUACAAACCCUACAUGGUCCUUCUAACCGCAAAGGCAACCAAAGUUAUCUCAUAUUUCGAAUAAUUGAAUAUUCCUUUAAAUUUAUAGUAAGCAAUAAUGCUGACUUUCAUUUUAUUAUUGAACAUACCCCAAAAUACGUUCCAAAAAAAAUAUCAAAAAAUAUGAGGUUCACAAUUUGUUUGUAAUAUCUCAUAAAAUAAAACAAUAAAAUUAAUAGGAAACUAAACAUUAUCCUAACAAACAAUGAUUAUACAAUUAUGUCCAAACAAAAAUAUUACGUAGUUUAAUUUCGCGUGUCGCACGGACCAACCCAAUGUCUUCCAUUGUUUUAUAUAUAUACGUACGUAAAAAUAUAGAUUAUGCAAUUACAUCAAAACAAAUAUAGGACGAAGUGGAACAAAAUAUUUUGAAAAGACAUCCGUGAAAGUUAAGAAUUCAACGGUUUUAAAACUAAAAUAGAAUUAUGAUUGGUUGUACAUUUAAAAAAGUUUUGCAUCAAAAUUUAUAUAAGUGAGAUAAAUGAGUAUGUAGAUCAUGGGUCUAAAUAAUUCGGUUGUAAGUGCAGAAAUUUUGUUGUAACAAUUUAGUUUGUAG